rnacentral:rRNA from 1 species
GAAUAUUAGUCAAUGCUCGAAAGAGUGAACUAGCUAACUGAAAUCAAUUAUAAUAAUUGAUAACAUAAGGGAAAAUAAUGAUAUUACCUUAUUAUUAGUGUCGUCCAAAUCUGGUGCCAGAAGACUCGGUAAGGCCAGAGACACGAACGUUAAUCGUCUUAAUCAGGCGUAAAGGGUUUGUAGGCGGCUUUAAAUUUAUUUAUAAAAAGAUAAAUUAAUUAAUAAUAAAAGCUAGAAUCAAAUAGAGGAUAGAUUAAAUAACGCUUAGAGUAGGUCUGAUAUCCUUAGAUACUAAGUAGAAUAUUAAAGGCGAAGGCUUUUUUCCAUUAAUGAUUGACGCUCAGAAACGAAGGUGAGGAUAGGAAAUAGGAUUAGAUACCCAAAAUACCCCUCUCUGUCAACGAUGAAUGGUAGUUAUUAGUAAAUAAAACUUAUUAAUGACAAUGUUAACACGAUAACCAUUCCGCCUUGUGAGUACGACUGCAAAGUUGAAAACAAAAAAAUUAGUCGGUUUCGGAGCAAACGAAGUGAAGCAUGUUAUUUAAUUC